CCCUCGCUUCUCCCUCUUUUAGUGGAAAUUGUAGAAAAAAAUAGAGUAGUGGCAAGAAUAUAGAAAACAACGAUCGUCGCAUCGACUUUUUAAAGAUUUCAAUGUUGUUGAGUACUUGUUUUGUCGUAUGACCAAAAUAAACAUUAUGAAGGGACUGCCGGAACCAAUAUAUGUGAAGUCAAAAUGCUUAAACCCAGGUGUCACCCUGGUACAAUAAUUUGGCAAUCAACUAAUGAACGAAAAACCGAUUAACUAGUAUUCCAGGCUGUUAAAAUUUAAUUAAAUUACACAAAUUUAAAACAAUCCCUUUAUUUAUAAAAUCACGAAAAGAACAUGAGAGGGAUACUUCAAUUUGCUCCAUCGUACGCACGUGAUUACGAAUACUAAUUUGAAACACAUAUCCAACUAUUUUCCGAACAAUACGCUCAAUUUUAUUUUUAUUAACCUCAAAUCCGUAAUUAACGAAAGACAUCAAUAACGAAUAUGUUAUUGGUUUCUCACAAUUGUUGGUGAAUAGGCUAUAAAGUUUUCUAAGAAUAAUACAAACCUUAUUUGAAAUAUCAUUUAAGUGGCUACUGAAAUUAAGACCUGAAAUAAUAACUAUGCCUAGACAUUUUAUAGAAUCUACAGUGUGAAUAAAUGUGGCACCAAUGUGAUUUCUGAAACAACAUGAA